UACAGAGGGUGCGAGCGUUAAUCGGAAUUACUGGGCGUAAAGCGCACGUAGGUGGCGACGUAAGUCGGGUGUGAAAGCCCCGGGCUCAACCUGGGAAUUGCAUUCGAGACUGCAUUGCUGGAGUACGGAAGAGGAAGGCGGAAUUCCCGGUGUAGCGGUGAAAUGCGUAGAUAUCGGGAGGAACAUCAGUGGCGAAGGCGGCCUUCUGGGCCAACACUGACGCUCAUGCACGAAAGCGUGGGGAGCAAACAGG
rnacentral:rRNA from 1 species